CUCUGGGAUAGCUCAGUCGGUAGAGCAUGAGACUCUUAAUCUCAGGAUCAGGGGUUUGAGCCCCACACUGGGGG